CUCCACUUCUUUCCUCCUCCUUCAUCUUCUCUUUUUUCUUCUUUUUUUUUUUCUUUUUUUUUUUUCCUGCGCGCCGAGGUCCUUAUGGGUUGCCGGGUCCGCGUCUAAGAAAGCUGGAUCGGCUAAAAGGAGAGUGAGGCGCCCUCUGAAAACCAAAUCAAAUGGAAUGAGGUUUCCACCCGCCAAUCUCAUUCGUACUCUCUCUCUCUCCAAAACUUUCUCCACCUCCUCGACCAGCCUUGCCGCCCACUUCGCCCGCGUCGUCGAGUCCUCCUCCGUCGCCUCAUGGAACGCCGCCAUCGCCGACCUCGCCCGUUCCGGCGACUCCGCCGAAGCCCUCGCCGCCUUCGCCUCCAUGCGCCGCCUCCGCCUCCGCCCCGACUGCUCCUCCUUCCCCUGCGCUCUCAAGGCUGCUGCUGCCCUAUCCUCCCUCCGCUCCGGCCGCCAGCUCCACCUCCUCGCCUUCCGCCUGGGCCUCCACCCUGACCUCUUCGUCGCUUCCGCGCUCGUCGACAUGUACUCCAAGUGCCGCGAGCCUGUCGACGCCCGCCGCGCCUUCGACGAGACCCCCCACCGUAACGCCGUCCUCUGGACUGCCAUGAUCGCCGGCUCCGUCUGGAACGGCGCCGCCCGCGAGGCAUUUUCUCUAUUCAAAGAAUUCUUGGCAAAGGAGGGAGCUUUAAGCUUGGACACUGUGGCGGCGGUGGCGGCGCUCUCAGCCUGCUCCCGUGUUUUGGAUAGGAAGGCCACGGGAGGGGUUCAUGGGCUUGCAGUGAAGGUCGGGCUCGAGAUGGAUGUCGGGGUGGGGAAUACUUUGGUGGACGCCUAUGCAAAAGGUGGUGAUUUGGGGAUGGGCCGGAAGAUGUUUGAUGGAAUGGCUGAGAGGGACGUGGUGUCAUGGAAUUCUAUGAUUGCUUUGUAUGCUCAGGAUGGGCUGUCAGCAGAAGCACUGGAGUUGUACUGUAAGAUGUUGAGUGGUGGGGGUGUUAGGUAUAAUGCAGUUACGCUCUCAGCAGUGUUAUUUGCUUGUGCGCAUGCUGGGGUACUGCAGAUUGGGAAGUGCAUUCACAAUCAGGUGGUAAGGAUUGGUUUGGAGGAAGAUGUGUAUGUUGGAACAUCAGUAGUUGACAUGUAUUGCAAGUGUGGAAGAGUAGAGACGGCAAGGAAAGCCUUUAACCGUAUGAAGAAAAGGAAUAUCCUCUCAUGGUCUGCCAUGGUAGCAGGUUAUGGCAUGCAUGGCCAUGGCCGAGAAGCUCUUGAGGUUUUCUCUGAGAUGAGGAGAUCUGGAGUGAAGCCAAAUCAUAUCACCUUUGUAUCUGUCCUAGCAGCCUGCAGCCAUGCGGGGCUUGUGGAUGAAGGCCGUCAUUGGUUUCAUGCCAUGAAGAAAGAAUUUGGUAUUGACCCAGGGAUGGAGCAUUAUGGAUGUAUCGUGGAUCUCCUUGGUCGUGCUGGUUGUCUCGAUGAGGCCUAUGGUUUGAUUAAGGAAAUGACAAUCAAACCUGAUUUUGUGGUCUGGGGAGCUCUUCUCAGCGCAUGUAGGAUUCAUAAAAAUGUUGAGCUAGGAGAGAUUUCUGCAAAGAAAUUGUUCGAACUGGAUCCAAAGAACUGUGGAUACUAUGUGUUGCUUUCAAAUAUAUAUGCAGAUGCUGGAAGGUGGGACAAUGUGGAGAAGAUGAGGGUUUUAAUGAAGAACAGAGGACUGGUAAAGCCACCAGGGUACAGUUUAGUAGAGCUCAAGGGUAGGACUCAUGUAUUCUUAGUUGGGGACAAGAAACAUCCCCAGCAUAGGGAGAUCUAUAAUUAUUUGGAAAAGCUAACUGUUAGGAUGCAGGAAGCUGGCUAUGUCCCAGAUACAGGAUCUGUUCUCCAUGAUGUAGAACAAGAAGAGAAAGAAUCAGUAUUACGUGUUCAUAGUGAGAAGCUUGCUGUGGCUUUUGCAAUCAUUAACACAGCUCCAGGAACAACAAUCCAGGUCAUUAAGAACCUCAGGGUGUGUGGGGACUGCCACCAAGCAAUCAAGUUGAUUGCCAAGCUUGUGGAUCGGGAGAUUAUUGUCAGAGAUUCCCAUCGUUUUCAUCAUUUCAAGAAUGGCUUCUGUUCCUGUGGUGAUUAUUGGUGAUUGUAUAUGAUGGGAAGAUAUUAAGACUGCAACUCCCAUGUACUGCUGCCAGGAAAUAAAUAUAAUCAGGGGGGUGCUACACAGAAACUUUCAGGAAAAGAAGUUUACACCUUACAAUUAAGAUCCUAUUUUUAAGGAGAUCAGGUUUUUUUCCAGUGAGCAUUCUUAAUAGUGCUAACAGAAGCAUUAACUUAAUUCCUUCCAUAGUUUUUUGAGAAUGGGAUUUUUACAUGUUUAAUUCUUUGGCUUCUAAAGUAGAAGCCCGGGGCCCAGAUGAUGUGUGACAUUUAUAAAUAUUAAUAGAGAGAAGGUUAUCAUGGUCAAUUCAAGCUUGCAGGUCAAUGACAUUGGUGUCUCGGACUGGCUUUCCUCCAGGUGCAACAAAUUGGGAGCUGUCUCAGAAUUUCAGUGCAUUAUUCAGGACAUCUUUCAACUCCAUGCGGACUCUUCAAAUGAUUUCUGGAGUCCAGUUGGGGAGUAGAUGUUGGAAGCAUUAAGCAUAUAGCUUUUUUGCUGUAUAAGUUGAUAGGGUGUUUCAAACAUGUAUCAACUUUGACAUGAAAGUGAUGUACUGGCUAUGUUGGUGUCAAAAUUUUUUUGGCCUUCCCAUUUAGAUUAUUCUUUCUUGUCAAUUAUCAAUUGUAAUUAAAUUUUAAAUAUCUUUCUUUUUUGUCAUCAUUUGGGGAAGGCUUGUCUCAUUAUUACUUAUUAAUCAAGCUAGAAAAUGCUACUGUACUAGUGGAUGAUCUUCAGCCCAUUGUGGUGAUUAUCUUUUCAAACCACCUAAAUUGCUUACUCUGUUCUUUUAA